rnacentral:rRNA from 1 species
GACAGAGGUGCCGAGCGUUAGGCGGAAUCACUGGGCUUAAAGCGUGUGUAGGCGGACCGUUAAGUACCUUGUGAAAUCCCCCGGCUCAACCGGGGAACGGCUGGGUAUACUGGCGGUCUUGAGCCAUCCAGGGGCAGUCGGAACAGACGGUGGAGCGGUGAAAUGCGUAGAUAUCGUCUGGAACGCCGAAGGUGAAAACAGACUGCUGGGGAUGCGCUGACGCUGAGACACGAAAGCCAGGGGGAGCGAAACGGG